CACACGAGUUUGAUCAUGGCUCAGAUUGACGCUGCGGCAUGCUUAACACAUGCAAGUCGAACGCGAAAGUCCUUCGGGGCGAGUAGAGUGGCGGACGGGUGAGUAACGCGUGGGAAUCUACCCUAGANCGGGGGACAACCCGGGGAAACCCGGGCUAAUACCGCAUACGUCCUACGGGAGAAAGAGGGCCUCUGCUUGCACGCUCUCACUCCAGGAUGAGCCCACGUCCGAUUAGCUAGUUGGUAGGGUAAAGGCCUACCAAGGCCACGAUCGGUAGCUGGUCUGAGAGGAUGAUCAGCCACACUGGGACUGAGACACGGCCCAGACUCCUACGGGAGGCAGAAGUGGGGAAUAUUGGACAAUGGGCGCAAGCCUGAUCCAGCAAUGCCGCGUGUGUGAAGAAGGCCUGCGGGUUGUAAAGCACUUUCAGUGGGGAAGAACAGAUUCGGGUCAAUACCCCCGGAGCCCUGACGUUACCCACAGAAGAAGCACCGGCUAACUCCGUG
rnacentral:rRNA from 1 species